GAUGAACGCUGGCGGCGUGCUUAACACAUGCAAGUCGAACGGUGAACACGGAGCUUGCUCUGUGGGAUCAGUGGCGAACGGGUGAGUAACACGUGAGCAACCUGCCCCUGACUCUGGGAUAAGCGCUGGAAACGGCGUCUAAUACUGGAUAUGUGACGUGACCGCAUGGUCUGCGUUUGGAAAGAUUUUUCGGUUGGGGAUGGGCUCGCGGCCUAUCAGCUUGUUGGUGAGGUAAUGGCUCACCAAGGCGUCGACGGGUAGCCGGCCUGAGAGGGUGACCGGCCACACUGGGACUGAGACACGGCCCAGACUCCUACGGGAGGCAGCAGUGGGGAAUAUUGCACAAUGGGCGCAAGCCUGAUGCAGCAACGCCGCGUGAGGGAUGACGGCCUUCGGGUUGUAAACCUUUUUUAGCAGGGAAGAAGCGAAAGUGACGGUACCUGCAGAAAAAGCGCCGGCUAACUACGUG
rnacentral:rRNA from 1 species